rnacentral:rRNA from 1 species
GACGAACGCUGGCGGCGUGCUUAACACAUGCAAGUCGAACGGAAAGGCCCUGCUUUUGUGGGGUGCUCGAGUGGCGAACGGGUGAGUAACACGUGAGUAACCUGCCCUUGACUUUGGGAUAACUUCAGGAAACUGGGGCUAAUACCGGAUAGGAGCUCCUGCUGCAUGGUGGGGGUUGGAAAGUUUCGGCGGUUGGGGAUGGACUCGCGGCUUAUCAGCUUGUUGGUGGGGUAGUGGCUUACCAAGGCUUUGACGGGUAGCCGGCCUGAGAGGGUGACCGGCCACAUUGGGACUGAGAUACGGCCAAGACUCCUACGGGAGGAAGCAGUGGGAAAUAUUGCACAAUGGGCGGAAGCCUGAUGCAGCAACGCCGCGUGCGGGAUGACGGCCUUCGGGUUGUAAACCGCUUUCGCCUGUGACGAAGCGUGAGUGACGGUAAUGGGUAAAGAAGCACCGGCUAACUACGUG